rnacentral:sRNA from 1 species
GCCGGGUGCUGUGGCACACGCCUGUAAUCCCAGCAGCUCGGGAGGCUGAGGCAGGAGGAUCAAAAGUUCAAAGCCAGCCUCAGCAACAGUGAGGCACUAAGCAGCUCAGUGAGACUCUGUCUCUA